UACAGAGGUCUCAAGCGUUGUUCGGAUUCAUUGGGCGUAAAGGGUGCGUAGGCGGCGAGGUUAGUCGGAUGUGAAAUCCCAGGGCUCAACCCUGGAACUGCAUUCGAUACUGCCUUGCUAGAGUACUGGAGAGGAGACUGGAAUUUACGGUGUAGCAGUGAAAUGCGUAGAUAAUCGUAAGGAAGACCGUGGCGAAGGCGAGUCUCUGGACAGUU
rnacentral:rRNA from 1 species